UGUACAAGUGACGCAUUGUUGUCCAGAUACAGCGCCCUACAAGAAUGUAAAACGUAUUUUGAAUUUGUAAUUGUUGAAGAAGCUCUGCCAUUAGCAUUUGAAUAACUAGAGAAAUUCUUCCUCGAUCAUUACCUUUUAACUCCAUCAACCUACACCAACACAAGUUUAAGUCAAAGGAAUUGGAUAUAAUAUAAACAACAACUUGAACCCUCAAACUGUUCUAUUUAAGCAUCCGGCUGUUAAAAAUCACUAGGUUUUCAACUAAAAAUAGAAUCAACAGUUAUUGAAACAUCAUCAUGGUUUCAAAUUGGUCCAGCACCUGAAUCCUAAUUCUAUCAUCGAAAAAGCAUAUCUACAUUCUGAAUAUUUCACCAACAUUUGCAAAUUUUUUAGGAUUCGAAUUUUUGUAGACGUUGUACAAGUGACGCAUUGUUGUCCAGAUACUGCGCGCUACAAGAAUGUAAACGGUAUCUUGAAUUUGUAAUUGUUGAAGAAGAUCUGCCAUUAGCAUUUGAAUAACUAGAGAAAUUCUUCCUCGAUCAUUACCUGUUAACUCCAUCAACUUACACCAACACAAGUUUAAGUCAAAGGAUUUGGAUAUGAUAUAAACUACAACUUGAACCCUCAAGCUAUUCUAUUUAAGCAUCCGGCUGUUAAAAAUCACUAGGUUAUCAACUAAAAAUGGAAUCAACAGUUAUUGAGACAUCAUCAUGGUUUCAAAUAGGUCCAGCACCUGAAUCCUAAUCCUAUCAUCGAAAAAGCAUAUCUACAUUCUGAAUAUUUCACCAACAUUUGCAAAUUUUUUAGGAUUCGAAUUCUUGUAGACGUUGUACAAGUGACGCAUUGUUGUCCAGAUACUGCGCGCUACAAGAAUGUAAACGGUAUCUUGAAUUUGUAAUUGUUGAAGAAGAUCUGCCAUUAGCAUUUGAAUAACUAGAGAAAUUCUUCCUCGAUCAUUACCUGUUAACUCCAUCAACUUACACCAACACAAGUUUAAGUCAAAGGAUUUGGAUAUGAUAUAAACUACAACUUGAACCCUCAAGCUGUUCUAUUUAAGCAUCCGGCUGUUAAAAAUCUCUAGGUUAUCAACUAAAAAUAGAAUCAACAGUUAUUGAGACAUCAUCAUGGUUUCAAAUUGGUCCAGCCCCUGAAUCCUAAUCCUAUCAUCGAAAAAGCAUAUCUACAUUCUGAAUAUUUCACCAACAUUUGCAAAUUUUUUAGGAUUCGAAUUCUUGUAGACGUUGUACAAGUGACGCAUUGUUGUCCAGAUACUGCGCGCUACAAGAAUGUAAAACGUAUUUUGAAUUUGUAAAUGUUGAAGAUGAUUUGUCAACUGCUUUUUCAAAAUUAGACGAAAUCCUGUAUAUAAUUAUCAUCCUUUUAUUCUAUCCAUCUCUUCUAAUCCAAGUCAUUUAGAAAGAAAUAAUAACUGAAAGUCGUACGACAAAACUACCCUGUUUCAAUUGUUAGGGUUUAUAAAUCUCUAUACUCUCAACGGAACUGGAAAGAAUUCAAUAUUGAUUCAACAUCGAAUACUAGAUUACAAAUAAGUUCCUUCUUUUGAAUCCUUUUUCUGGCCAAAGCGUUACAAUUUUUUACUCUUAAAUCAAUUUUGUGUUACAGAAUUCUGUGUAAUAGUAAUAUUAAUUCUAAUUCUCUUUUUUCUGUAGUACAGAGAAAAGAUAGUUGACUAGUUGCAGUUUAUUUAAAAUUUCAAAAAGUUGCUUUUCCUCCUUACAUUUUAAAUAAAAUUUAAAUUCUUGUACAGAUUGUAAGCUGAAUACAUAAUUAGCUGGUUAUUGUUUGAUACAAGAAUGCAAAACCAAAUCUAAAAUAUCUCGAUGUUGUCAAGUUCUUUAAGCUGCUCGCACAAGAAAAUUUGUUGCAGUAUGUUGGAUGCGUUUGAAAUUAGAUAGAGAAGGACAGAACGAUAUUGUCUUUUUUAUCUCAUGUGAAACGUAUUCCUGCAAGCUGUAACGUAUUUUCUUGUGUGAAUGGCUUUACAUGGUAUGGU